UACGGAGGGUGCAAACGUUGCUCGGAAUCAUUGGGCGUAAAGCGCACGUAGGUGGCCUGUUAAGUCGGGUGUGAAAUCCCUGGGCUCAACCCAGGAAGUGCACUCGAAACUGGCAGGCUUGAGUACUGAAGAGGAUCGCGGAAUUCCCGGUGUAGAGGUGAAAUUCGUAGAUAUCGGGAGGAACACCAGUGGCGAAGGCGGCGAUCUGGGCAGAUACUGACACUGAGGUGCGAAAGCGUGGGGAGCAAACAGG
rnacentral:rRNA from 1 species